AUGCACAGGGCGGCAGUCAGGGGUGACGCCGUGGAGAUGGAGCCGCCUGGCGCGCAGGAGAGGAGACCUGGACGCCCGGGACAAGCCGCACAGCCUACCACUGAAAUGGAACAUCGUGUUGUGAGAGAAGCAGUACAAAGAAAGAAUGUACACAAAUCGAGAGCAGAUUCUGGGAGUUCUGAUGAAUCUGCAGUCAGAGUUUCGCUCCUGUUGCCAGACUGGAGGGCAAUUGCACAAUCCCAGCUCACCACAACCUUUGCCUCCUGGGUUCAAGCGAUUCUCCUGCCUCAGCCUCCUAUCUGGGAUUACAAGCAUGCACGACCACGCACAAAUAAUUUAGUAUUUUUAGCAGAGACGGGGUUUCUCCAUGUUGGUCAGGCUGGUCUCAAACUCAUGACCUCAGAUGCUAAAACAUUUGGAGACACUGGGAGGAAUCUACGGCAGACAGAAAUGUGGUAUCAUCUGAUUUCAUCCUGA
rnacentral:lncRNA from 1 species